AUGAACGCUGGCGGCGUGCUUAACACAUGCAAGUCGAACGAGAAGUGAAGACGGAAACCUUCGGGCGGAAGGCUUUAUUUCGAGUGGCGGACGGGUGAGUAACGCGUGGGUAACCUGCCUCAUACAGGGGGAUAACAGUUGGAAACGACUGUUAAUACCGCAUAAGACCACAGCACCGCAUGGUGCGGGGUAAAAACUCCGGUGGUAUGAGAUGGACCCGCGUUCGAUUAGCCAGUUGGCGGGGUAACGGCCCACCAAAGCGACGAUCGAUAGCCGAUCUGAGAGGAUGACCGGCCACAUUGGGACUGAGACACGGCCCAAACUCCUACGGGAGGCAGCAGUGGGGAAUAUUGCACAAUGGGGGAAACCCUGAUGCAGCGACGCCGCGUGAGUGAAGAAGUAUUUCGGUAUGUAAAGCUCUAUCAGCAGGGAAGAAAAUGACGGUACCUGAGGAAGAAGCCCCGGCUAACUACGUG
rnacentral:rRNA from 1 species